rnacentral:rRNA from 1 species
AACGAACGCUGGCGGCAUGCCUAACACAUGCAAGUCGAACGAGACCUUCGGGUCUAGUGGCGCACGGGUGCGUAACGCGUGGGAACCUGCCCUUAGGUUCGGAAUAACUCCCCGAAAGGGGUGCUAAUACCGGAUAAUGUCUUCGGACCAAAGAUUUAUCGCCUUUGGAUGGGCCCGCGUUGGAUUAGCUAGUUGGUAGGGUAAAAGCCUACCAAGGCGACGAUCCAUAGCUGGUCUGAGAGGAUGAUCAGCCACACUGGGACUGAGACACGGCCCAGACUCCUACGGGAGGCAGCAGUGGGGAAUAUUGGACAAUGGGCGAAAGCCUGAUCCAGCAAUGCCGCGUGAGUGAUGAAGGCCUUAGGGUUGUAAAGCGCUUUUAACCGGGAUGAUAAUGACAGUACCGGGAGAAUAAGCCCCGGCUAACUCCGUG